UCCUUGCACUGACCCACAGACCCAAUACCUCCAGAUAGGCACCAGAUUCUGGAUAGCAAGGUUUUCCUGAGCAGAUCACAACUAAGAGGAAUGCACUCCCAUAAUUCACAGCCUCUGGUAGCUAGAACUAGAAAUAAAUGGGCCAACUGACCCUCUAUUCCAUGCAAUAUAGCGGAGCAGCAUCCAUGAUUCACCACUGUGUGGGAACUCUGAUGCAGGUGGACAAACUGAUUCUUGUCCAGUCAUAGGGAAGAAACUGUUAACAAACAUGGCACAGAACCCUCCCAGGAUGCAGCCUCAGGCAACUCAGGUGACCAGUAAGAACCAGCUGGCGAGAAACUAUAGCAGGAGAAUAGCUACUGUGCCCCACCACCUCUAGGAGGACCAAAAGACAAAGAAUGAUGAGCUUCACCUAAAGAGUUUUCUUCACCUUGGGUGCCUAAGAAUGGACAUGAUUGUGUGGGGGUGAUCAAGAUAGCAGGAUAUGCAAGUGAGGAUGAUAGCACAAUGAUCCUGUGGAAAAACAGAUGGUAGAUUCAAGGAGCAAUGACAAAUCUGUGUGUCUACCCUCCUUUUAUGUGACCUGAAGUCAGUGUCCUUUGUCCUUCUUCCCCCCGCCAGCUGUAGACCAGAUGGAAAGAGCCUUGAACUUUCACACUCAAUUGUUGAGAGGCUCCAGGCACCUGGCAUUAAGUAUUUCCUAGAAACUGGAUGAAUUUUGUGUAGAACACUGGAGGACCAUCUCCAACAUCCUAAGAUAGCACAUUGUUUUUGGAUUACUGGUCCCUCUAGUGGGCUGAAAAAAUUUUUCUUAAAACAUUCAAAUUUACCUUUUCCUACCUGUGACUUUCUAUAUGAUAUUACUGUGAGUUUGUAUAUGAUAUUUCAUGGAAGUUAAUAAUGUUCUUCAUUUAUACUUUUAAAUUCAUAGCUCUACUUUAAAUUGGUCUGCUUAGACUAUCUUUCUUAACCUGUGGUGCUGUGGAAUUACAAAUCAUGUGUCCAGAUUGACAAGCCCCAUUUUGGCCUCU